AGUGAACGCUGGCGGUAGGCCUAACACAUGCAAGUCGAACGGCAGCACAGUAAGAGCUUGCUCUUACGGGUGGCGAGUGGCGGACGGGUGAGGAAUACAUCGGAAUCUACUUUUUCGUGGGGGAUAACGUAGGGAAACUUACGCUAAUACCGCAUACGACCUACGGGUGAAAGCAGGGGAUCUUCGGACCUUGCGCGAUUGAAUGAGCCGAUGUCGGAUUAGCUAGUUGGCGGGGUAAAGGCCCACCAAGGCGACGAUCCGUAGCUGGUCUGAGAGGAUGAUCAGCCACACUGGAGCUGAGACACGGUCCAGACCCCUACGGGAGGCAGCAGUGGGGAAUAUUGGACAAUGGGCGCAAGCCUGAUCCAGCCAUACCGCGUGGGUGAAGAAGGCCUUCGGGUUGUAAAGCCCUUUUGUUGGGAAAGAAAAGCAGCAGGUUAAUACCCCGCUGUUCUGACGGUACCCAAAGAAUAAGCACCGGCUAACUUCGUG
rnacentral:rRNA from 1 species